AAAUCAAUGAUGAUGGGUCGAAGGAAGUGGUAUGGUGAAUCUCUUGAGCCUACGUACAGAAACUUGAUGAGGUCAAAUGAUGGGUAAGGUUGCUCUACAAAUCGAAGUCCAAAAGGUAAAUGUAAGACCAAGACGGUAAAUCAAAGCAAGAUUGUAUCAUACAAUCUU
rfam:Enterococcus pallens ATCC BAA-351 genomic scaffold acvKb-supercont1.5, whole genome shotgun sequence.